CCAAACAUCCUUGAGUAAUUUAUUUCAUGAUUUUCUUGCAGAAAACAUCUCCAAGAAAAUGACCAAAACAUUUAAGAAGGCACCAUACAAUAAAAUAAAACCAUAGGCUUCUCCAAUAAGAGUUGAUCCAAAGAUUUGUCACCAACACUAAGAGCACGGUGGCAUAGGAUGCAGAGAAAGUCCAAUAAAAGGAAGCUGAAUCAAAGAAAGAAUCAUCGCUCUUCUUUCCCUUGUCCAAUGGGAUUGGAGAUGGUGGAGCUCGUUUGUUGCUGUUAGUCCAAUGAAAAAAUGGACUUCCUGAAUUAUUGAUAUGGUUAAAGCUGGAAUUAUUGAUCCACUGAAGGUUUUUAAAACCGCCUUGGUUGACGGCUUAACGCAGCCAGGUGAAAUCAUCUCUGUUUUUGACUGAUGCCAAUGUUUAUCAAAAGAAUGACCAAACUCCUGUCACCAUCGCAGAACCACAUUGAUUAAUUGGAGAGCCACAUUAGUUGGGUUCUGAUUCCUGUUUCCUGAGCAAAUUAUUUGUAUUAUAUCAGGGACAUCGCGAGAGAGUUCGCUCUGGGUUAGCCAAGUAUCAUGGUGGCGAAGCUGGGGCCGAAAAGAAACCUAGAAGAAGGCCAAGUUAUGGUUCACAACCCAAAAAGAAGGACCCUAUAAUGAGAAAAGAUACUAAUACUAGCAUUUGUGUCAGUAGUAGCUCCAAAAUCGGGAAUAAGAGUGGCACUUUGAAAAGAAUCACCUCCCCUGUCUUUAAGGAUCCUUUUGUAAAUUCCAAGCUUGAGAUGAUAAAGAACAUUAGAGCACAAAGAGCUGCUGCAGAAACUGGAGAAGCUCAAGUCAUUGAACGAGCAAGCUGAGAAAGCUGCCAAGGCACUUGAGGUUGCUGCAACAAAGAGCCCCAUUGCGCAAGCUUCAUUGAUAGAAAGCAAAAAGCUUAUUGCCGAAGCUAUUCAGGCACUUGAAUCCAUUGAUGCAGAGGAGAUGAGUGAGAGUGAUAUUUCAUCGGUUGCAUCGAAUUUCUAAGCCAAUCACUUAAGUCUCACGUAAAUGGUCACAAAGC